rnacentral:lncRNA from 1 species
UUCUCCCGGAGGCGCAUGAUGUCCUCGGCCAGGUUGUCGCGCUCCACCUCGACGCGGGCUUUGUCGUUGGUUAGCUGGUCCACCUGCCGGCGCAGCUCCCGCAUCUCCUCCUCGUAGAGGUCCCCCAGGCGCGACUUGCCUUGGCCCUUGAGCUGCUCGAGCUCGGCCAGCAGGAUCUUAUUCUGCUGCUCCAGGAAGCGCACCUUGUCGAUGUAGUUGGCGAAGCGGUCAUUCAGCUCCUGCAGCUCCACCUUCUCGUUGGUGCGGGUGUUCUUGAACUCGGUGUUGAUGGCGUCGGCCAGCGAGAAGUCCACCGAGUCCUGCAGGAGCCGCACCCCGGGCACGCUGCUCCGCAGGCGCACGGCAGAGGAGCGCGUGGCAUACACGCCGCCCGGGGACGAGGCGUAGAGGCUGCGGCUGGUGCUGUAGGUGCGGGUGGACGUAGUCACGUAGCUCCGGCUGGAGCUCGGCCGGCUCGCGGUGCCCGGGCCGCCGAACAUCCUGCGGUAGGAGGACGAGGACACGGACCUGGUGGACAUGGCUGCGGAGGGUGGCGAUGGCCUGGGCGGCGGCGGUGGCGCGGACUGGCUCCCGGAGAAGAGGCGAACGAGGGCGCGGUGGGUGUGGGUGGUGGGAGCGCGGCUGCGUCUCUGGCGCGGGGACCUCGGAGCGAGAGUGGCAGAGGACUGGACCCCGCCGAGGGCGCUGUUUUUAUAA